rnacentral:rRNA from 1 species
AACGAACGCUGGCGGCAGGCUUAACACAUGCAAGUCGAGCGCCCCGCAAGGGGAGCGGCAGACGGGUGAGUAACGCGUGGGAAUCUACCCAUCUCUACGGAAUAACGCAUGGAAACGUGUGCUAAUACCGUAUACGUCCUUCGGGAGAAAGAUUUAUCUGAGAUGGAUGAGCCCGCGUUGGAUUAGCUAGUUGGUGGGGUAAAGGCCUACCAAGGCGACGAUCCAUAGCUGGUCUGAGAGGAUGAUCAGACACACUGGGACUGAGACACGGCCCAGACUCAUACGGGAGGCAGCAGUGGGGAAUAUUGGCCAAUGGGCGCAAGCCUGAUCCAGCCAUGCCGCGUGAGUGAUUAAGGCCCUAGGGUUGUAAAGCUCUUUCACCGGUGAAGAUAAUGACGGUAACCGGAGAAGAAGCCCCGGCUAACUUCGUGCCAGCCGCCGCGGUAACAC